GACGAACGCUGGCGGCGUGCCUAACACAUGCAAGUCGAGCGAGUUGAUCCCUUCGGGGUGAAGCUAGCGGCGGACGGGUGAGUAACACGUGGGCAACCUGCCUCAUAGAGGGGAAUAGCCUUCCGAAAGGAAGAUUAAUACCGCAUAAGAUUGUAGCUUCGCAUGAAGCAGCAAUUAAAGGAGCAAUCCGCUAUGAGAUGGGCCCGCGGCGCAUUAGCUAGUUGGUGAGGUAACGGCUCACCAAGGCGACGAUGCGUAGCCGACCUGAGAGGGUGAUCGGCCACAUUGGGACUGAGACACGGCCCAGACUCCUACGGGAGGCAGCAGUGGGGAAUAUUGCACAAUGGGGGAAACCCUGAUGCAGCAAUGCCGCGUGAGUGAUGACGGCCUUCGGGUUGUAAAGCUCUGUCUUCGGGGACGAUAAUGACGGUACCCGAGGGGGAAGCCACGGCUAACUACGUGCCAGCCGCCGCGGUAA
rnacentral:rRNA from 1 species